CACGUAGGGUGCGAGCGUUGUCCGGAAUUAUUGGGCGUAAAGAGCUCGUAGGCGGUGUGUCACGUCCGCCGUGAAAACCUGCAGCUUAACUGUGGGCGUGCGGUCGAUACGGGCAUCACUGGAGUUCGGCAGGGGAGACUGGAAUUCCUGGUGUAGCGGUGAAAUGCGCAGAUAUCAGGAGGAACACCGGUGGCGAAGGCGGGUCGCUGGGCCGAUACUGACGCUGAGGAGCGGAAGCGCGGGGAGCAAACAGG
rnacentral:rRNA from 1 species